AGUAUAUAUUUCCCUUUGACCAAAAAUAUGGAAUAUCUUUUUCCGAGGAAGGGAAAAUAUCAUUUCCCCACUAUUCGUUAAUCGCAUGCGCAUAAGAAUCGACAUAGAUUAAUAUUGGAGUGCAUCCUAGAGCUAUACACGUUAUCUCAUUCGUGGAUGAAAAAUAAAAUUGCGCAGCCCUUUCGCUCAGAUGUUGGUGCAUCUAGAUAGAUAUGCGAUGCUACCGUUUCUUUCACCAUCAUCCUCUGUAUCUUUCACAUAGUUUAAUAGUCUAAUAGUUUGAUAGUGACAAGAAGUGGACGAUCAAGAUAUACUUUGAAGUUAAA